GCCCGCCGUCCCCGGCGCGACCGGAGCGCCUGACGCUGGGGGGCCGUGUGGGCCCUGACUUCCGGAGGGCUGGGCCCUGGUCCUCCGCCACCGCGUGCGCCCCUUAAAGACCCCUGCCCGCCGCCCAGGACGGAUGGCGACCCCGGCCCUAGCCUGUCCCCAGACCCUGGACCAAGGCCCCGGCCCUGCCCCGAACCCCUCAUCCCACCCCCAGGACCCAGGCCCCGACCCUGGCCACCCAGGACACGCCCUGGCCCUUCCCCGAACUCCCACCCCACAGCUGGGAUCAAGGUCCCGGCCCUGCCCGGAACACCUCACCCCACACCCGGGACCCAGGCCCCGGCCCUGCCCCGAACUCCCACCCCACACCCGGGACCAAGGCCCCGGCCCUGCCCCGAACCCCUCACCCCACCCCCGGGACCAAGGCCCCGGCCCUGCCCAGAACUCCCACCCCACACCCGGGACCAAGGCCCCGGCCCUGCCCAGAACUCCCACCCCACACCCGGGACCAAGGCCCCGGCCCUGCCCCGAAGGCCCCACCGGGGACCCAGGCCCCGGCCCUGCCCCAAACUCCCACCCCACACCCGGGACCAAGGCCCCGGCCCUGCCCCGAACGCCCCACCCGGGACCCAGGCCCCGGCCCUGCCCCAAACUCCCACCCCACACCCGGGACCAAGGCCCCGGCACUGCCCCGAACGCCCCACCAGGGACCCAGGCCCCAGCCCUGUCCCGAACUCCCGCCCCACACCUGAGACGAAGGUCCCGGCCCCGAAGUCCCAACCCCACACCCGGGACCAAGGCCCCGGCACUGCCCCGAACCCCCGCCCCACACCCCUAACCAAGGCCUCGGCUCAGCCCCGGAAUCCCCAACCCCACACCUGGGAUCAAGGCCCCGGCCCUUCCCCAAACCCCCAACCCACACCCGGGACCAAAAGGCCCCGGCCCCACGUUUCCUAGAGGCGCUGGGUUCGGGCCCACGUUGCAACGAGUCAGAUGCUCUUGGUAGCUCAGGGAGGUGUUCACACUCCUGCCGUUUCCGUGAGGAUGGUGACGACUCCGAACUAUAGCAGCAUACUCUACCUACCCCUGAUCAGUUUAUGGAAGAAAAGGAAACCAAACAAAUGGUUUUGCCGUUGUUACUGCUCACCUGGUUUGAUUCAGUGGCGUCGCGGUUGGUCUCUGCUACAGUCCAUUACUCACAGUGCCAGCACAUGUUUCCUUAAAAAGCUUCAUCACCAUCCUCCUGCAAUGCGACCUUCACCGGCUCCCCGUUGCCUGCCCAGGAGGAUAAAGUCCAAGUUCUCCUGUGGAAAGAAGACCCUUCACACGCUAGUCCCAGCCUGUCUUCAGCCCAGCCCCCUGUGUUUCCUUUCCUGCCUUAUCCUAAGACAUCCUUACCUUCCAAUCACACUCACUUUCCGAGCAUUUUUGAAGGUAUUGAGGGAGUUGAUGAGUCUACACUUGAAUAAAAUACAGACUUUACACUCCAGACUGCACAGUUGACAGGUGAGAAGCAGAGGUUGACCUAAACACUGCAGAGAAUGUUGGAUGGAAAGUUGGGACUUAAAAUCUUGAUUUGGCAAAAUCACAGACUCAGCUGGAGAGGUGAGUGUUGGCCAGGACAUGGGACCCACUUCCUCUAAGACGGACAGGAGCUCAGAGCCCCGGACUUCAGUUUUGUGGACGAGGAGGUCAGGUUGUUUGCUGAAGAUGAGGGUGGACCGAUAGGGUGGAGAAACAAUGGGGUCUGUAAAAAUGCUUGAGGCAGGUGCUUGGAGGAGGACGGACAUUUGCCAGUGUCCACUUCAUUGCCCACUCCCACCUGUGGGUGCUGGGGACUCAGCCUGCUCUUCCUCCUCUUCAGAGUUGUCACCUAUUGUGUUCAUGGAAGUCCUUCUCCAACCCCCAUUUAAGACCAGCUAAUCAGGGAGAGUCCCAAUUCCCCAUGAGCUUACUUUGUUUUGUUUGUUUGUUUGUUUGUUUUGAGACGGAGUUUCACUCUUGUCGCCCAGGCUGGAGUGCAGUGGCAUGAUCUCGGCUCACUGCAACCUCUGCUCCUGGGUUCAAGCGAUUCUCCUUCCUCAGCCUCCUGAGUAGCUGGGAUUACAGGCGCCUGCCACCAUGCCUGGCUAAUUUUUGUAUUUUUGGUAGAGAUGGGCGGGGGGUGUCUCACCAUGUUGGCCAGUCUAGUCUUGAACUCCUAACCUCAGGUGAUCCGCCCGCCUUGGCCUCCCAAGUGCUGGGAUUACAGGCGCGAGCCACUGCACCCGGCCUGAUCUUGCUUUUUAAGCGAUUGCAAUUCCACCUGGUGCUAUGGUGAUCUGGGGUUCCAUGGCCUGUUUACCAGAAGAGCAAUGCUUUUGUUGUGCUAUAUUGUUAUUUCAGUUAUUUUUUUAUUUUUUAUUUUUUGUCUUUUUUUGUUUGUUUGUUUUGUUUUGUUUUGUUUGAGACAGGGCCUCAGCCUGUCACCUAGACUGGAGUGCAGUGGUGUGAUCAUAGCUCCCUGCAGCCUCUAACUCCUGGGCUCAAGCGAUCCUCCCACCUCAGCCUCCUAAGUACCUGGGAUUAUAGGCUCAAACUAGCAUGUAUGGCUCAGUACAUUUUUUUAAAAAUCUGCAUUAUGUAUAUCUUGAACUAUACCUAGAGAAGUAUACAUUGGUUGAAAUUUUGAGGUGAACAAAUGUGCCACUGUUCAGAAACAUUCUAAUCACAUUCUCCACUGUUCGAAAUUCCCCAAGGUAUCUAUUUUUGCCUUAAUUUAUAUUCCCUAUGUUAAGAAGGUCAUUUGAGCACAUUUUCAUGUUUGUUAGCUAUUUCUAUUUUUCCCUUGCCUGUUUAGAUCUAGAUUUAUUACAAGAAGUCCAUGAUGGAGACAGCUCAGGAAUGGAAGAGACUCAAGCCCAAAGAUCAGAAGAACCUCUGUCCUGGAAGUCGGUUCUCUUUCCAAUGGAACAGCCUCUGCAAAGUGUACCACACGAUGAGUUAAUAUAUCUCACUUUUAGAAAGAAAGAUACUGAUAUGCCACUGAUGUGGUUUGGAUGUGCGUCCCUCCACCCCCACCCACAGUCCCAUGCUAGAAGUGUCACUCAUAUUCAGCUUUGAAUCAGUGGGGAACCCAUACAGGAAGAUCAUAAUAAAUAUGGAAAAUUCUGAUAAUUUUGUGAUUCCAUGAGAUAAGAAAAGAACUUCCCUCUCCUGGAAAUCUCACUCUGAGGGGAGCCAGCUGACAUAUCUUAGGCCUCCCUGCACCCCUGGGAGAGGCCCACAUGGAGAGGAGCCCACAGCCAAGGAGGCCUUUUGGAACUGGGCCCUCCAGCCUCACUCCAGCUUUCAGAUGAUCACAGUCCAAGCUGACUUCUUUUUUUUUUUUUUUUUUUGAGACAGAGUCUCACUCUGUCACCCAGGCUGGAGUGCAGUGGCAUGGUCUCGGCUCACUGCAGCUUCUGCCUCCUGGGUUCAAGAGAUUCUCCUGCCUUGGCCUCCCAAGUAGCUGGGAUUACAGGCACACACCACCACCCCUGGCUGAUUUUUGUAAUUUUAGCAGAGACAGGGUUUCGUCAUGUUGCCCAGGUUGGUCUUGAACUCCUGACCUCAGGUGAUCUGCCUACCUCGGCCUUCCAAAGUGCUGGGAUUACAGGCAUGAGCCACCGCACCUGGCCUCACAAGUCCUUUCUGAAACCACAGAUGGGCACUUUGCCUGCUGUGUGUUAUUCUGGGACUUCAGCAGCCUCCCUCCUCCUGUCACCUCCAUCCAUCUGUGGGAUGCACAUGGAGCCUCUUCACAGGACAGCAAGCAUUUGAACAUAGCAGGAGGAUGACCUGGGGCCAGGGUUUUUUGUUGUGUUUCAUUUUGUCUUUUCGAGACAGGGCCUCACUCUGUCACCCAGGCGGGAGUGCAGUGGUGCGAUCAUGGCUCACGGCAGCCUCAACCUCCUGGGCCCAGAUGAUCCUCCCACCUCAUCCUUUUGAGUAGCUGGGACCACAGGCAUGUGCCACCACAUAGGGCCAGUUUUCAGCCUCCAUUCUGAGUGGUUAUGAUUUCUGUUGAAUUCUUUUUCCAAGAGGUGAUUGGGUGAGCUAAGACUGACAUUAUAAAGUAUUUUUAAAACAAGGUUGUGAAGGAAGCAGUGAGCGGCGAGGGUGAUGGAGUGGAGGGAAGGUGCAGGGGGGCCCAGGUCAGGAGGGCCCGGGUCGGGAGGGCCCGGGGAGUGCAGCGGCAUUUCCGGGGUAAUUGUGUCUACUUCGCAG
rnacentral:lncRNA from 1 species